GCGCCCGUGAGGGCGAUCAGCUGAAAGAAGGCUGUAGCAAAAGGCACGACCGUAGGAACACGAAACGGCAGAGAGGCAGGGCGCGGGCGAUGAGCGUGCUAGGUAACGCAAAAUCCAACCGUCACCGAAAGACGCGUCAAGUAGAGCCGUGCGGCACGGGCCGAAAGUUCAUGCA
rfam:Microbial mat metagenome hsmat06_BHWP8515_y1, whole genome shotgun sequence.